rnacentral:lncRNA from 1 species
AGGGAAUUGAUAUGAAUAUAUGAGAUUUGUGAUAAUUGAAUAUUUUAUAUUGAAAAGUGAAUUGAGUUGUAUUGAAUUAUGAAUUAAUGUGAAUAAUUGAAAUAUAUUUGUUGAAUUGAAUGAAAAUAUAUGAAAUUAUGAAAAUGUGUGAAUAUAUGUGAUUAUUAGAAUGGUAUAUUGAUGAAAGAUUUAUUAAAUUGAGAAAGUGAAUCAAAUACCCUAUUAACAGUAUCGGACCAGAUUGGAUACAAAUGGCAUGCCAUUGGAUUUAUGAUGUGAUGAGGAGAUUUGUAGUUCGGCCGAGAAGAUGUUUCUGUUAUUAUAUAUUUCGGUUUAUCUGAAGAGGCAUUUAAUGCCUUAUUGGUGUGUUUGGGAGGAUAUGAUAUACUGGUGUGUUAUGGAGGAUUUAUAAUAUUCCGGGUGUGUUUGGGUUGGAUAUUCUGGUGUGUUUGGGAGGAAUCCACGUAUCUAUCAGAGUCCGAGUCUUGUUAAUAGGGGUAAAUAAGUGAAAAGAUAAAUCGAGUGAAUUUGAUUGAUUGAGCUAUUGGAAUGACAUGAGAAAUUGAAUUGAGAAUUGAAAUUGAGAUAUGAGAUUGAAAACAUGAACCAAAAGGUUCAUGAAAUGAGUGAAG